rnacentral:rRNA from 1 species
ACGGGAGGCAGCAGUAGGGAAUCUUCCACAAUGGGCGAAAGCCUGAUGGAGCAACGCCGCGUGAGUGAAGAAGGAUUUCGGUUCGUAAAACUCUGUUGCAAGGGAAGAACAAGUAGCGUAGUAACUGGCGCUACCUUGACGGUACCUUGUUAGAAAGCCACGGCUAACUACGUGCCAGCAGCCGCGGUAAUACGUAGGUGGCAAGCGUUGUCCGGAAUUAUUGGGCGUAAAGCGCGCGCAGGUGGUUCCUUAAGUCUGAUGUGAAAGCCCACGGCUCAACCGUGGAGGGUCAUUGGAAACUGGGGAACUUGAGUGCAGAAGAGGAAAGUGGAAUUCCAAGUGUAGCGGUGAAAUGCGUAGAGAUUUGGAGGAACACCAGUGGCGAAGGCGACUUUCUGGUCUGUAACUGACACUGAGGCGCGAAAGCGUGGGGAGCAAACAGGAUUAGAUACCCUGGUA